AGAACGAACGCUGGCGGCAUGCCUAACACAUGCAAGUCGAACGAGACCUUCGGGUCUAGUGGCGCACGGGUGCGUAACGCGUGGGAAUCUGCCCUUAGGUUCGGAAUAACAGUUAGAAAUGACUGCUAAUACCGGAUAAUGACGUAAGUCCAAAGAUUUAUCGCCUAGGGAUGAGCCCGCGUAAGAUUAGCUAGUUGGUGGGGUAAAGGCCUACCAAGGCUACGAUCUUUAGCUGGUCUGAGAGGAUGAUCAGCCACACUGGGACUGAGACACGGCCCAGACUCCUACGGGAGGCAGCAGUGGGGAAUAUUGGACAAUGGGCGAAAGCCUGAUCCAGCAAUGCCGCGUGAGUGAUGAAGGCCUUAGGGUUGUAAAGCUCUUUUACCCGGGAUGAUAAUGACAGUACCGGGAGAAUAAGCUCCAGCUAACUCCGUGCCAGCAGCCGC
rnacentral:rRNA from 1 species